rnacentral:rRNA from 1 species
GCAAGACCUCGGCAUACUGCUCAGUAACACGUGGACAAUCUAAGCUAUGGAAGGGGAUAACCCCGGGAAACUGGGGAUAAUACCCUAUAGACUAUGAAUGCUGGAAUGCUUUGUAGUCCAAAGGGCAGCCGCCAUAGGAUGGGUCUGCGGCCGGUUAGGUUGUUGUUGGGGUAACGGCCCAACAAGCCUGUAAUCGGUUUGGGCUGUGGGAGCAAGAGCCCGGAGAUGGAUUCUGAGACAKGAAUCCAGGCCCUACGGGGCGCAGCAGGCGCGAAAACUUUACAAUGCGGGAAACCGUGAUAGGGGCACUCCSACUGCCCGUUAAAUCGGCCUGUCCAUCCGUUUAAAUCCUGGUGAAGAAAGGCCCGGRCAAGACCGG